AGAAAAGAAAGAAAGGAGAAGAAGAAGAAGGGAAAGAGGUGGUGACGUGAAAGUUGGGCAAGACUGGUAAAUUUAACCAGAUUACAAUCCAUAGAUCUGUGAGUGGAGAACUUACUUUUCCAAUAAAAAAAAAAAAGAUUUCUGGUAAAUUUAACCAGAUUGCAAUCCAUAGAUCUGUGAGUGGAGAACCUACUUUUCCAAUAAAAAAAAAAGAUUUCUUUUUUUUUUUUAAUUUUAUAGAAGUAUAUUAAUUGCGUGAAAUGUCUUAUUUUCGAGAAAUUAGUAAAUGAGCAUGAUUGUUUUGAAAUUAUCAAAAAAUAAUUGAUGUGAUUAUCUUGCUCUAGUGCACUGAGGGGCUACGACCGUGUACUAGAGUCAUGUAUUUAACUUUUAUACACUGAGAGGGUACAGACGUGUGUAAGUGUAACUCUUAUCCACUGAGGGGCUACAACCGUGUAUAAGGAUGAUUAUGUUGUUUCCAUCUUGUAUACUGAGGGGCUACGACCGUGUACUAGAGUAAUGUAUCUAACUCCUAUACAUUGAGGGGCUACAACCGUGUGUAAGGGUAACUCUUAUCUACUCAGGAGCUACGGCCGCGUGUAGGGGUACCUAUUAUACACUGAGGGGCUACAGCCGUGUAUAAGGAUGAUUAUGUUGUUUCCAUCUUGUACACUGAGGGGCUACGACCGUGUACAGAUUGUUGAUCAGACAGUUUAUGUGCAUAUGACUUUGUAGCUUUCAGAUCAUCAGUAGAUGUUUACAUGGGGUAUAUUUUGAUGUGAAUUUUAUGUAUAUAGUGGUUUAUUAGCCUUCAACUUACAUUU